AAAACAGGGAUUAGAUAACCCAUGGUAGUCCCACCGCCCGUAAACGAUGAGUGCUAAGUGUUAGGGGGUUUCCCGCCCCCUUUAGUGCUGCAGCUAAACGCAUUAAGCACUCCGCCUGGGGAGUACGACCGCAAAGGUUUGAAACUCAAAGGAAUUGACGGGGACCCGCACAAGCGGUGGAGCAUGUGGUUUAAUUUGAAGCAACGCGAAGAACCUUACCAAAUCUUGACAUCCUUUGACCGCUCUAGAGAUAGAGUCUUCCCCUUCGGGGGACAAAGUGACAGGUGGUGCAUGGUUGUCGUCAGCUCGUGUCGUGAGAUGUUGGGUUAAGUCCCGCAACGAGCGCAACCCUUAAGCUUAGUUGCCAUCAUUAAGUUGGGCACUCUAGGUUGACUGCCGGUGACAAACCGGAGGAAGGUGGGGAUGACGUCAAAUCAUCAUGCCCCUUAUGAUUUGGGCUACACACGUGCUACAAUGGAUAAUACAAAGGGCAGCGAAUCCGCGAGGCCAAGCAAAUCCCAUAAAAUUAUUCUCAGUUCGGAUUGUAGUCUGCAACUCGACUACAUGAAGCUGGAAUCGCUAGUAAUCGUAAAAUCUAGCAAUGAAAUAA
rnacentral:rRNA from 2 species